rnacentral:siRNA from 1 species
GAGAGGAGCACUAUGCGUGGGUGG